AGGAAAGCGGAGGACCGUUUGAGGGGGUGCCUUGCAGGAAGGAGAAAGAGGGGGAACAGAAGGAGCCUCCAAGGGGAAGAAGUGUGGGACGCUUUAUUUAUUUAUUUAUUUUUCAAAACUAAGGGCGACGCAACAGCCUUGCCCAGGCCUUGCCAGGUGCUCCAGCCCCGGCUGGGUCACCGCGUCGCUCGCUCGGAAGGUCGCAGCUGUCAGGCAGAGAUACUGUAACCCAGGAGGAGCUGCGCUGGAAAAUUCCCUGGGAGCUUCGGACUGUCUGGAAGGCAGUUUUGGGUGCGCCCCAUGAGCUCACGCCGACAGGAUUUCUUUGCUCCAGACUUUUGGACAGGGAUGGUCUAAGGCCUUUGCGCCUGGAAAUUGGCCGGAAACUUGCAGAAUGGAGCACCCGAAGGCCACCACUGACCGGCGCCCAUUGACCAAUGGACAUCUGGCACACCGCACUCACACGCAGCCCUAUGGGUGUCCCGAGGGCUUUCUCGGCUUUGGUUGGGGACUUUCGAAGUGAAUCGGAUGAUCCAGCGGGAAGAAAGUACUCGCUGACUAUUUCCCAGGUCAGUGGACCAGAAGACCUUCGUUCUGGGCAAGCCCUUGUGACCUCCCCCCCCCCCAAAAAAAAAAGAAGAAAGGGGAGUGGAUUCUCCAUGCGAAAUCAGAGCUUGUGUCUGCUUAAUCUUUAUUUUUCCUACCCUUUAUAAAGGCCGCAGAAAUCUCCCGGACUGACUCCGGUGCUGCUGUUGGCUGAUGAUACAAACGCCUGAUCGGCGGCGACGCUCUGUGAGGCUCAGAGAUGGGCAUGUCCGCUCUUCUGCGGGUCCGGGUGCGGCGCUGGACAGUGACUCUUGUUCUCUCUCGGCCACCAACUCUCCCCAACCUUCUUGGGCCUGAGCUGUGCGUUUCGUUGAAAGCGGGCCAGCAGCUCGAGCGGGUUUGCAUGGCGGCCCUCUGCGCCUCCUCACCUGCCUCUGCCAGGUCUGCUGUGUCUCCACAAGUGAUGCUGGCAUUUGCAAACUCUGACAGCCCGCGGUUUCUGUGUUGCUCGACGUGUAGGACCGCUGUCAGAUGUUGGGUUACUGCUCGCCCCGAUUAGCUGAACGGUUCUCAGGCACCCCAAGCGCAGGCAAGGUUGCAAGGCCCUGGGCUCCGGCGGCGGGCUGCACUCUGGAAAGGGCAUAAACCGUGUUGUCGCCUGCGCCGCACGUGGCUCUGACUGUAACAGGCCCCAAGGGUCAGACAGCAUGGAUCCCAGGGGCUCACUCCGCCUCUCUGACCUGCGAACCUUUAGCCUGCGACCCACGCUGCAGUCUGGAGGAGGCCUGGCUUUUGAAAACGGGUUGGGGGUUGCAGCCCCACCCGGGAUCUUGUGUAAACGAAAAGACAGGGCGCCAGGGCUCGCGGCGCGUUUGGAGGCCGGCAAGGCAGCCGAUCCGCCUGGGAGGUGCCCGCAGCGGGCGGUGUUUGAGACGACUUCCAAGGCCUGGCCGCCUUCCUGCGACGCCUGGCCCGGUCCCCGCCUGCGGUCACCGCUUGGGCCUGGUGCGCCUUUUGAUGGCGCCUCACCUUGUGCCGGGCCCCUCCGAGUGGAGGUGGGGGCCGCUGGUGCAGGAGGCCCGGCAUCCGGCGAGGGGCGGCCGGUUCAUAGAAUUUUCAGGAAGCUGCUGAAAUCGGCCCCGGGGUGCUUUUUCCGCGGGACAGUGGAGUGACUGUGCAUCCCUAAGCGAUGUGUUGCUGACACUAGGUGCUAGCGCCGCCCCGCGUCAUGUCACCAAGUUCAGGUCUAAGGGUGGAUUUACUCAGUUUCCCCGAGGCCUCUAGAAGGGAGAAGGAGCCCUGACAGAUCGCGAUCUCCUCCCAGGCCCACACAGCAGCACAGGACUACCUAACUACUGGCAGAGAAAGCAAGAGAAAUGAUACAUAGAACUGGUCGGUAAGGAGUCUCACACACACACACACACACACACACACACACACACACACACACACACACACACGCUUUUUCCCUGCUAUGUUCCCUCUGUAGGGUCUGGGAGCCCAGGACGCGUUUAAAUGGAUGUCUGAAUGACCACAGGGGUUUGACUGACAGCCCCAACUGGGAAGUCAUCAGGCCACUCAAUGACUUCCUUCCUCCUCUUCAAUCCCAUCACGUUCUUUAAAAUUCCCCUCUUGUUUAUAGGGGGGAAAUCCUACAGAGCUGGGUGCCUUUCUUCAACUUGAAGAAUUGGGAGUUGGAGUCUUCUUAUGGUCCAAGAAGCCACAGACUGGAUACUGGAUGAGUGCUUUUAAAAAUCCAGUCAUGGAUCGCCUACAGUAUCACCAAGUUCCCGUGGGUCACAGGAAAGUUUUCUGAGUUACUCUAAUUUUUCUGGGGCGGCUGUCAUGAGCUGCAUUUCCUCAGUUAGUUUACAAAAAUUCUCCAUAGACAAAGGGUAGAUCAAAUUCCCUGGAAGAAGUAAGGGUUUUUUCUUUUAUUAUUUUUCUUCAUCUUUCCAUUACCUGUGAGAAACUCUAUCUGGAGGUAGGAAUUCCUUGCUUGGUACUUCUCUCUUAUGUGGUAUCUAUUUUUUAUUACCCGUAAUUACAACACAUCAGCCCCACUCAUCAGUGACAACCCCUCCCUCAAGGUAGUGACUGCUGUUGGCAAUCUCGAUUUGGGUUGCACCUGGAUGAGCAUCUCCUCCCAGCUGGUAUCAGAGGCAGCCACUCAGGGCUUCCCACGAAGCUCUGCACUUUGAAGGGGACCUGGAAAAAGCCAACAUUGUUCUUACCUUGGAAAUCCAAUAUCUUGUUGUCAUUUUGAAUUAAGACUAAAAUCCCCAGGCCGAUUCUUAUAGAAUGAUGUGCACUAAUUGAUUUAUGUGGAGCCCUGUAAGAACACUUUAAUGAAGUAGUAGAAACAAGAUAUGGGGAGAACAGAUAGGACAGGGACACCCCGGUGGAUGAGGCUGCUGCAGGAGGAACUGGUCAAAACCAGCCUUACAUAAAUGUCUUUUCUUUAGUUAGCCUGGUGGCACUCUGGCUUGUGGGGACCGGCAUGGCUGGCCCGUUUGCCGUGAACUGCCUCCGUUCCAACCGUCCUAAUAGAAUUGUACUGUCAGCAUGUGCUCACGCAUGGAGAAUGCACGGGGUGUGGAGCAGGGGGUGUGGGCUUUGGCAUCAGGCGGCUAUGGGCCCUUGACUCACAGGCACCUCUUGAGUAAACUACUUAAGCUUGGAGCUUUACUUUGCUCAUUUGUAAGAUGGGUUUAAGAGCCCCACAUCAAGCAUUCAACGGUUGUUUGUUCAAUUGAAUGCAAUUACGUGGGAGAUUAUAGAUUAAGCUCAGCAAACCUCUGGUUCAUAGUAGGCGCUUUCUAAUUGAGGCUCUCAUCACUAGGGCUGUGAUUGUGAAAGUGUGUUCAAAACUGCUUAUAAUUAGUGUUACUUAGUCCCUGAAUAGCCUUAGUUUCAGUGGCCAAUGACCACUGAACUUUGAAAAUAUUACAUAGAGAUUUUUAUUUUUUUAAAGAUUAGUUUUUAAAAAAAUGUAUGGGUGUGUGUUUUACCUGCAUAUAUGUUAAGGACACCGUGGAGUGUUGUAGUGCCUCUGGAGACCAGAAGAGGGAGUCAGAUCCUCUGAAACUGGAGUUACGGAUGGUUGUAAAUCACCUUAUGGGUGCUGGGAAUUGGACACCCAUCCUCAACAAGAGGGUGCUUUUAACCAUGGAGCCAGCUUUCUAGCCCCACAUUAGAUAUUUUUAGAAAUAAAAAAUUCCCCAGUUUUAUGGUGUAUACCCUUCUGCACAUUGCGAUGAAAUCUGAAGCUAUCCUGUUAUGACCUACCUGGGAUGAAUCACCUCUUUGUUCAAAAUAGCCACCGUUUUUACUGUACAGCCCCAAGUCACCCAGUAACUAUUUUUACCCAGCUCUUCUGUUGUGAUAUGGUAGAGUUUUUGAAGCACGAGAGUAAUGAUGACAGCCAUUUGUCCAAACAUAUUCUUAUUCUUGUUUCCUGUUGUUAUAAGUUAUCAUUGUUAACUCUUAUUGUGCAUAAAUAAAUUAAACUUUAUCACAAUGUACAUGCAUAGGAGAAACAGUAGGCAGAGAGGGUUCAGUGCUAGCUGUGAUUUCAGGCACCACACAGGCAUGUGGUGCCCCUUGCAGACAGAGUGGGGACUAUCAUAUUUCAGAAAACUUCCUGAUGGAGUGUCAAAAAGAUUCAUUUCCAAACAAAUACCAAACCUGUAUGAUAUACCCAGGAAUCUAGGAAUGCUGAGAUGCUUGACUGGGUUUUUUUAGGGGCGGUCGGCAGAAGAAGGGGUGUCUUAGGAGACGACCUGUGUUUCUGAGGUGCGCCCUCUACCGCAACCUUGGAAAGAGUGUGGGCUUUGGCGAGAGCUGAUUGGGUUAGAUCUUCGCCUGAUGCUCGGGAGUAGUGUAACCAAGAACAAGCAACUUAAUCUUCUUCGGGAGUCAGUUUCCCUGCCUAGGGGAGGAGAGUGUUAAAAAAGCACCUCACUCCCGGGAGGGGGGGGGGUGGGAAGAGGAAGUGAGCUAAUGUAUUCAAAACGGCUGGAUUCUGAGACAAAUGGGAGACUCAGCUGCCAAAAUGGUUUGCAUUAUCUGAUGGUGUUUCCAGGAUUUAGGUCUCAUUAGAACAGUUCUCAGAAAGCAAAAGACAGCUGCAUGUAAGCGUGACAUUGCAUAUUCCUAUGGGCUUGAGACAAUGUUGCUCCUUCUGUCCGGCUGGUUCUCAGGACUGAGCGCAAAGCAGAUUACCCUAAAAGUUCUAUAGUCAUGUGUGGGUGAUGAUGGAGACCAAAAUAACUUAUGUGCACCCUCCUUUUCUUUUCUAACUCUUUCCUCAUCAGCCCUCUGUGCCCUCAAAUAAAGCCAGAAAUAUCCAUUAAAAUGAAGAAAAGGAGCUCCCAUUAA